rnacentral:rRNA from 1 species
GGGGAAUUUUGCGCAAUGGGCGAAAGCCUGACGCAGCGACGCCGCGUGAGUGAUGAAGGCCUUCGGGUUGUAAAGCUCUUUUCUGUUCAAGGAAACACCGUGUAUACGGAACUGACCAGAACAGGAAUAAGUC